UUUUUAAUUCAAAUUUAUUAAAAUUUAUUUUCUAUUAUUUAGUUGGAUUUUCUAUAAAAGGGGAUUUUGUUAGUUUUUUUAAACUAUUAUUUAUUUUUUGAGUGACAAAAUUUUGCUAUUCAAGUGUCCGAGUUCCAUGCGGGGACACAUUUUGUUCAGAGCUGAAAAAGAAAAAAAUAUAUUCAGAAAUACAGACUUUCUUAACUCUAUUUUGGACAUUAAAUUUGAGAUGACGAUAUGCUUAUCUUCUUAGGCGGUGAAUCAACAAUCUCAAGAGUACAGUCAAGUAACUGACCGCUGAAGACUCUUUUCAAACGUUAUUGAAAAAGGAAACGCUUUAUCUGAAAACGCCGUGGUUCGAUCCAAAGCCAAUUGGAAAAAUCAUUAGCUUUGUUUAUUCGACCGGAAAUUUUAUUAAAAUAACAUAAUUGAA